UCAGAGAUUAAAUAUGAUGAUGCUGG
rnacentral:sRNA from 1 species